UCAUGAAAAAUUGUUUUUUUUUUUUUAAUUAUUUUUUCGUUUAAUUUGAUGGCUUCUUUUUAUUGAUUAGUUGAAUUCGUUCUCGUGCCUUAGCAAAUCGGUGAAAUUUAUUUUAGGUUUUGCUUAUUGCACUUAUAUACCGAUUGUUUUCAUGCAUUUUAGUAGUUGCCUGCUUAUUGUUGAAUGGCGGGCGUGGUUCAUUUUGGUUAUUUGAUAUAUCAAGAUCAAUUUCUGUAUAGUUACGAGUACAAGAAUUCAUGCCUUGAACACCUGUCUAGCAAUGUAUGUAUAGUCAAGAAUUCAAAUCCAAUCUCCUCCUCUUUUCUCCUUUUAAAUUUGAUGUUGUUCUUCAAUUAUUGUAGUGCUAUUGUAUAUUUGUAUUAUAAUCCAUGUUUAAUAUGCUAAACCUAUAUAUGGAAGAAAAUUGUAGGAUUGACUUGUAGGAUUUCAGCUAUAUUAUUAUUAAUGGUUUAGCUACUUUUAUAAUAGAGUAAUAAAAUUUCUACCGUGGCUUAGGGUAACUAAUAAUGUUCUGCUACAGCAAACAGAGCUUAUGAUUUAUGAACCACAAAUUCGGUGUUGUUUGCUUCUCGAACAAAAUGUGAAGGAUAAGCAAUUGAUAGAUAGCAAUAGUAUGAUGUGAUAAAUUGAUCUACCAGAGUGCAUGUGCAUCUGAGUAUAGCCAAGCUGCAAUAUCUUCAAGUUGCUCAUUCCUCUUUAUCUUUGGAUUCAAGGUUUUAAGUUUCUCUUUGUUGUUGGUUAGUUACCUUGUAUUCUUAUAUGCCAUUUUUCCCCAACAUGGCGUCUUAUUUAAGUUGUUAGUUUUUCCAUGAUAAUGUAUGUUACAAUUACAUUCAAAAUUCUGAUGGGAUGAUUCUGUGUUGGAAUUUAUAUUGCUUGUAGAUGGACUCCUUAUGGAAAUACCAAGUGCAUGAUUUGCAAGCAGCAGGUACACCAAGAUGCCAAAUACUGUCACACCUGUGCUUAUACCAAAGGGGUUUGUGCAAUGUGUGGUAAGCAAGUACUUGACACUAAGUUUUACAAACAAAGUAAUGUAUAAUUCAAAGCAGAUGCUAUUUGGCAUGUUGAAUUAGAUGUAAUGGUUUAUGGACUGUUUCAAGCUUAAUUGAUCACUAUCAUUUACUUACAAUAUGAAAUGGAGGCUGUAAAGAUCACCAACUUUUAUGUAAUGUACUGGUAUGCUUGGUGGGUUUCAUUCUUACUGGGUAAUGAAAUAUGGUAGUAACAGCUUUUCUCUAUUCUUUCUUAAUAAUUUUAUAGACAAUUUGGUUUAUCUUGCUUGCUUAGGUACAAUUUGCAUUUUCCAUUUGUUUAUAUCGCUUAGUCAAGAACUGUCAGCCAGCAGAGAGAGGCUUGAUCAACCCAGCAAAACCAUAGAGCAACUAAACUAGAGCCCAUAAACAAUCGUAGAAAGUACAAAGGCCAUUGGGGUCAAGGGAACCAUUUAAGCAUAGAUUGGCCGCCUACAUUGUAAGAAGAAAAUGGAGGAGCAGGACCUAGUUGGCAUCUCAGUCUCUUUUAACUAGGGCGGUAGCACUCUCUCGGUUGAAUGCUGUAAAUCUUACAGAUACUUUCUUCUCAUAUCCUUGUACACCUCCCAGAUGAAACAAAUCGACCAAGGCACCUCCUUUAAGUCAACUUAACCUGCAAAAACAAUAAUACAACCAACAAAGAAGAAAGCAAUAGAGAAAAACCAACACAUAGAAGUAUCAACAGUCCAAGGAUUCCUCAAAUGGUCACCACUGCUGCCCUUAACUAAAACCUAUCUACACCUUAACUCACCACUAAGGAGGGGUAAGCCACUAAACUAAGAGAAAGAGACUCUAGGCUCUAAGGAAAGGAAAAAAUGAGAGCUCUCUCUCCCCAGAAAGAGAGACACGAGUUGUCUAUUGCAUGAUAAAAGUUGAAUUCAUAAUAGAAUAGUAAUAAAAUAGUUCUAUAUGAGCUUGCCCCCAAGGAUUAAGGAGUUCAUAUUAUUGGUUUUGGUGGUAGGCACACGGUUACAUCUAUUCAAAGCUUUUGUUAGUUUUGUGACUGAUAGACUAAUUUUAGUAGCAGAAUUUGAUGCUGCUAAUAAGAUUAAAUUGGAAUAUUUGAGGGUUGGAAAGCCCAUAUAUUAUGCUUCUAAUCAUGCAUUAGGUGUGUUUUUUAGUGUCUGACUGUCACUCGGCAAAUGCUAAUCUCAGUCUACUGUCAAAAGAUUUGUGAUUCUCCACUUGCAAAACCUAACUUAUGAUAUCUUCAUUCCUUUAUUUCUUUUUUCCAAUCUCAUACUGUGCACACUGAAAUUUAUACCCGUUGUUCUGGCGGAAGUCUGAUAUGCCCCGUCACGCCGUGAGCCCGUGUUUGUUGGAACCGGCCGUCAUCUGCUCAAAGGUAGUAUCUAAAGAUAUUUCAUCUAACUUGCAAGAAAGUUCACACUACUAAUUAAAAAAUGGUGCUUUAGUGGCAGUCUCUCCUUAUCAAAUUUGUUCCAUCUCUGAACCAAUGCAUCUCGUUAAUAUUACCGUCAAAGGUUAGUGAAAGAAGAAACGUUUUAGAAAGAGGGAACUCUUGAUUUUCCUUCUAACUGCAUGUUACUAGCGAAAAUGAGAAGGGCGAUAGGCGUCGACAAUGCGAGACAAAUCCAACCAAAUGGUUUGGACACGACUCUCUCCAUUUACUAAACAUAUAGAUUCUUUUUUAGAUGAAGUUGAAAGCAAAAUCCAAACCGGGAUUUACGGAUAAGAACAAUCACAUGGGGCCGGUGGUGCAAGGAAGUGGCCAGUGAAAAAAUCUCGAUCCAAAUUCCAAUCCCAAUUAACUUAGAACAGUCUAAUUGGUGCACAUGAAAACAUAGGAAAGAACUCAAACAAGGACAUAUUAACAUGGACACUUGAUCCUAAUUAAAAGAUGAGAAAUCAUGAAAACAACCCCGAGAAAAUCAAAGACCAACUUCGCACAGAAACACUGCAGAGUUACAGGAGAAGAAUUUGGAAUCAUCUUGUCCCUUAAAUGAACAGAAGCAGACAUGAUCUUGUCAACUCCAAAAGUGAUACUUGGCCUGGUAGUUUCAUUCGCUGGUCGAGUAUCUGGAGUUCCAAUACUUCUCAAUCUCCUCUGCUGUUCUUCCGGGAAUCCUCCCAGCAAUUAGAGACCACCUCUCUCCAACUAGAUUAAACAUCCUAAUUACAAGCUCUUCCUCAUCCUCAGAGAAUUCAAGCUUCGAUUCUUUAUUCCUUUCCUCUGAACAAAACUACUCAAAAUCAACACUGGAGCAAAAAGAUCCAGUCUUGUUGGAACAAACAUUUCAUGAUACAUAGAAGAACUUGGAACAAGUAGCUACUGAGACAGAGAAAAAGCAAUAAGGACUAUAAAAGAAAUAAAACUCAAACAAAGCAGUACAUUUCAAACUAAAUACCUUGAGAGUCCACAUAAGUCUCAUCAGAAGAAGAAUGUUCAGAUUCAGCCAUGUGGGUAAGAAUGGAGUAAAAGACUGCGCCUCACCAAUUUGCCAAUAGGAACACUCAAUUAUGAGGCAAUAGUGAUAGGUUUAAAGGCAGUGAAACUGAAAGUGCUUAUGUGUGUGAAUAUAUUAACAGGAGCACAGUUUUUCAGGAGAAGAAAAAAGGCAUCUUUGAGAAUAAACAAAUGUAUGGUGCUGAGGAAACGAAGAAUGUUAGUUGUGUAACAGGGUUGAAAUCUAGCAAGUUUGAUUGUCAGUCCAACUAGCCAACUGCUCAUGCAAAAGAAAAAAAGAAUCAUGUGAAAUUAAUUCUGAGUUGUCAUGUUGAUGAUUGAGUGGCUUUAAAACUUCAUCUACUCCUUUUGCUGCUUGCAAUUAAUUGCAAGGUUCUGCUAAUAAAUUCUGUAUUUGUCAUAGUCAAUAAAGAAAUCAUCUUUAAUCAGGAUUCCAAGAGCCUAAUUUGUCUGUAUACACUAAAUUAUUGAGUAGCAAUACACUAGUAAUAAUAAAGUAUGCUAUCUUCUCUCAAAAGCUAAUCCCAUUUAUAGCUAUAGAUUAAUGUUUAAAUUUAAAUGCCGCUUGUCGCAUUUCUAUUGAAAAUGAGAAAGAUAAAAGCCCCAGAAACGGCAGGAAGUGGAGGUCAAGUUCUCUGUUAACUUAUUCUUGGAAGUAUUCAACAACAGUUUCUUUAGCUGGAUCAGGCAAGAAGCUAUUACUAUCAUGAAUGUGCAUUCCUAACUUGCCCUUUGCAGGUGAAAUGUCCUUAUCCUUCAGUUGUUGAUAUAUGCUUUACAUCAAUAUUUCACUGUCAGGUAUUAAAUAUUCUCCAAUCAGCAUUUGGUUUGGCCCUCAAAAAAUUCAUGCUGAUCUCAUGACCUUAGAGAAGGUGAAAAAACUUGAAGUUAGCUGCAAGCUUUCAAGAGAUCAAAGGCAUUGUGAAACCUAAUGUAGCCGCACUAUAUCUAUUUGGAUAGGUUGCCAGUAUGUUCAAUGGAUUAGGGCUUCCUUUUUUCUCUUUUUUUUUCCU
rnacentral:misc_RNA from 1 species